AACGAACGCUGGCGGCAUGCCUAACACAUGCAAGUCGAACGAACCCUUCGGGGUUAGUGGCGCACGGGUGCGUAACGCGUGGGAAUCUGCCCUUUGCUUCGGAAUAACAGUUAGAAAUGACCGCUAAUACCGGAUGAUGUCUUCGGACCAAAGAUUUAUCGGCAAAGGAUGAGCCCGCGUAGGAUUAGGUAGUUGGUGGGGUAAAGGCCUACCAAGCCGACGAUCCUUAGCUGGUCUGAGAGGAUGAUCAGCCACACUGGGACUGAGACACGGCCCAGACUCCUACGGGAGGCAGCAGUGGGGAAUAUUGGACAAUGGACGCAAGUCUGAUCCAGCAAUGCCGCGUGAGUGAUGAAGGCCUUAGGGUUGUAAAGCUCUUUUACCAGGGAUGAUAAUGACAGUACCUGGAGAAUAAGCUCCGGCUAACUCCGUGCCAGCCGCCGCGGUAAAAC
rnacentral:rRNA from 1 species